GAGACUCUGUGCGCGUGCAUAUCAAUAAGCGGAGGAAAAGAAACUAACAAGGAUUCCCUUAGUAACGGCGAGUGAAGCGGGAAGAGCUCAAAUUUGAAAUCUUCGAGGUUUUACCUUGACGAAUUGUAGUUUAAAGAAGUGUUUUCUGUUGGAGUUUUGGUAAAAGUUCUUUGGAAUAGGACAUCAUAGAGGGUGAGAAUCCCGUAUUUGACCAUUAUUUCCAGCUGUGUGAUACACUUUCAAAGAGUCGGAUUGUUUGGGAAUGCAGUCCAAAAUGGGUGGUAAAUUUCAUCUAAAGCUAAAUAUUGGCGAGAGACCGAUAGCGAACAAGUACCGUGAGGGGAAAGAUGAAAAGAACUUUGAAAAGAGAGUUAGACAGUACGUGAAAUUGUCAAAAGGGAAGCGUUUGACACCAGUGUUGUUUUUCCGAAAAUCAAUUACGAAUGUUUUGUUUUGAGAAGUUAUGACUUCAUCGGCUUGCUUCUCUCUUUACGAAACUUUCUUAAUGCACUUUUCGGUUAACAAGUCAACAUCAAUUUCUUUUGUUGUAAAAGGGUACGAGGAAGGUGGCUUUCUUUUCGGAGAAAGUGUUUAUAGCCUUGUACCUCUGCAGAUCGGAGAGAUUGAGGUCUGCAGCGUAGAUCCUUCGGGGUUAGAUACAUUUGUGCUAAGUUAUAGCUUUUCAUAGACAACUUGUUGACUAUGUUUAGUCUUGUAGCUUACUCGCUUAUGCUAUUUUACCUACGCUUAGGAUGUUGACGAUCAGCUGAGCGCG
rnacentral:rRNA from 1 species